UCACCGCCUGGGUGGAGCCGGAGCGCCGCAAGCGCCCGCGCCGCUGGCGGCGGCCGCUCGGCUUCGCGGCGGUGGC
rnacentral:tRNA from 1 species